rnacentral:rRNA from 1 species
AGUGAACGCUGGCGGCCUGUCUAAUACAUGCAAGUCGAACGAUGAAGCUUCUAGCUUGCUAGAAGUGGAUUAGUGGCGCACGGGUGAGUAAGGUAUAGUUAAUCUGCCCUACACAAGAGGACAACAGUUGGAAACGACUGCUAAUACUCUAUACUCCUGCUUAACACAAGUUGAGUAGGGAAAGUUUUUCGGUGUAGGAUGAGACUAUAUAGUAUCAGCUAGUUGGUAAGGUAAUGGCUUACCAAGGCUAUGACGCUUAACUGGUCUGAGAGGAUGAUCAGUCACACUGGAACUGAGACACGGUCCAGACUCCUACGGGAGGCAGCAGUAGGGAAUAUUGCGCAAUGGGGGAAACCCUGACGCAGCAACGCCGCGUGGAGGAUGACACUUUUCGGAGCGUAAACUCCUUUUCUUAGGGAAGAAUUCUGACGGUACCUAAGGAAUAAGCACCGGCUAACUCCGUGCCAGCAGCCGCGGUAAUACGGAGGGUGCAAGCGUUACUCGGAAUCACUGGGCGUAAAGGGCGCGUAGGCGGAUUAUCAAGUCUCUUGUGAAAUCUAAUGGCUUAACCAUUAAACUGCUUGGGAAACUGAUAGUCUAGAGUGAGGGAGAGGCAGAUGGAAUUGGUGGUGUAGGGGUAAAAUCCGUAGAUAUCACCAAGAAUACCCAUUGCGAAGGCGAUCUGCUGGAACUCAACUGACGCUAAGGCGCGAAAGCGUGGGGAGCAAACAGG